GCACCGGUGGUCCAACGGCUAAGACUUCGGCCUUCCAAGCCGACUAUCUGGGUUCGAAUGCCAGCAAUCUAGGCGAGUUGGGCGGGUUACUAGUAACCCACCGCGACGAUUAGAAUGUUGGAACGAAAGUCCCAGCCGGUGCA
rnacentral:tRNA from 1 species